rnacentral:rRNA from 1 species
GAUGAACGCUGGCGGCGUGCCUAAUACAUGCAAGUCGAGCGAACAGACGAGGAGCUUGCUCCUCUGACGUUAGCGGCGGACGGGUGAGUAACACGUGGAUAACCUACCUAUAAGACUGGGAUAACUUCGGGAAACCGGAGCUAAUACCGGAUAAUAUAUUGAACCGCAUGGUUCAAUAGUGAAAGACGGUUUUGCUGUCACUUAUAGAUGGAUCCGCGCCGCAUUAGCUAGUUUGUAAGGUAACGGCUUACCAAGGCGACGAUGCGUAGCCGACCUGAGAGGGUGAUCGGCCACACUGGAACUGAGACACGGUCCAGACUCCUACGGGAGGCAGCAGUAGGGAAUCUUCCGCAAUGGGCGAAAGCCUGACGGAGCAACGCCGCGUGAGUGAUGAAGGUCUUCGGAUCGUAAAACCCUGUUAUUAGGGAAGAACAAAUGUGUAAGUAACUAUGCACGUCUUGACGGUACCUAAUCAGAAAGCCACGGCUAACUACGUG